UAAUUACAAGCCAUUGCAUUUACUAUUAAUGACUCAUCUUAAAGCUCUCAAACGUUAGCCCAAAUAAACCAAACCCAAAAAAAAAACAAAAGCCCAAACAAUAUUAGCCCAACUGCAGCGCAAAACAACCACAAACUCUUCUUCUUCUACGUAACCCAACAUCGGCAUUGACGAACGCCGAUCUCCAACCGCUUCGUCUUCCCGGUGUCUGAAAUUAAGCACCAUCAUUCCCACUAAAUCUCCUUAAUUGGCCACUCCCCCUUGAUUUAAAUGUACACUUAUUGACAUCUUCUCUUCCCAAACCCUAUAAAAUCUUCCUCUCCGUAAUGUAACCAUCACCGCCAAAUCCUCUUUGGGAACAAAUUCUCAGGGGCUUUCUCCUAAAUUCCCACUUGCGAACGUUCUUUCUCUCCGCAAAAGUCUCAUCCAAAACAGAAAUAUGAAUAGACGACCUUACGCAUCUCUCUCAAAUCCGGAUGAGUUCAAAUUCUCUGAUCGAUAAUUUAAGGAUCGAAUCAUUGGAGUGGGUUUAUGGAGAACUCAAAAUUGGGUUCAGUUGGUGUUUCUUGUAGAAUUUCUUCUUCGAAGGAGUGCAGGAACACUUUUGUACCUCCUAGAUUUAAAGAUAUAUCAGCGAUGACGAGGAGGAGCGGUGACGUUACCCAAGAAAAACAUCAAGAAAGUCGUUGAUCGAGCUGGUGGCUGGUUGGUUCCGUGAGAUGAUGGUUGUACGGCACACUCAUAAAGCCUUGGCAGUGUAACAGUCUACUCCUCCACAACCACACGUUUAAGAACAAAGGAGAAGAUCUUUCAAAAAUUAACGGCAAGAGGAAAAGAGAUCUCAAAUCUGUUGAGGACGAUUGAAAAGAAAAGCUUUUUGGUCCUACCAUGUACACAUCAUUUUUGCAAGACAAAAGAAACAAUUUAAUGAAUCCUCAUGGCAUUAAGCAUUUUUAACAUUCUAUAUAUGUCCACCAAAAAUUAACUUUUAUUUCUCCAGUAUAGUAAAAAUGAAGACAUUUCAUUUCAUAUUUAA